GUAAGUUGCUGAUGUACUCAAAACUCUUUCUACAUUGCAGAAACCGGGCAUCGCAACACAUGAUUUCCCAACGAAAUUUCAUGUAGAAUACGGGGAAUGCGCCGACGGGCAAGAGCCGCCGGCAGACGCGGAGAUGCAGGGCUUGGAUUCCGGCGACCAGGACGAAGAUGAGGACGACGAAGGUGCCUCCAGCGCCGCUUCGCUUUCCGAGCCAGCUUCCCCUUUUUCCGGUCCACGGGAGGAGAUAAACCGUGAUUCUACCAUGUUAAGCGAGGC
rnacentral:lncRNA from 1 species